GAUGAACGCUGGCGGCGUGCCUAAUACAUGCAAGUCGAGCGAACAGACGAGUAUCUUGCUCUUCUGACGUUAGCGGCGGACGGGUGAGUAACACGUGGCUAACCUACCUCUAAGACUUGGCUAACUUCGGGAAACCGUAGCUAAUACCGGAUAAUAUAUUUAACCGCAUGGUUCAAUAGUGAAAGACGGUUUUGCUGUCACUUAUCGAUGGAUCCGCGCCGCAUUAGCUAGUUGGUGAGGUAACGGCUUACCAAGGCAACGAUGCGUAGCCGACCUGAGCGGGUGAUCGGGAACACUGGAACUGAGACACGGUACAGACUCCGACGGGAGGCAGCAAUAGGGAAGCGACCGAAAAGGGCGAAAGACUGAAGGAGCAACGGAGCGUGAGUGAUGAAGGUCUGUGGAUCGUAAAACGCUGUUAGUAGGGAAGAACAAAUGUGUAAGUAACUAUGCACGGCUUGACGGUACCUAAUCAGAAAGCCACGGCUAACUACGUG
rnacentral:rRNA from 1 species